rnacentral:rRNA from 1 species
UACAUGGGGUGCAAACGUUGCUCGGAAUUAUUGGGCGUAAAGCGCACGUAGGCGGUUCGUUAAGUCGGAUGUGAAAGCCCUCGGCUCAACUGAGGAAGUGCACCCGAAACUGGCGAGCUUGAGUACGAAAGAGGAUCGCGGAAUUCCCGGUGUAGAGGUGAAAUUCGUAGAUAUCGGGAGGAACACCAGUGGCGAAGGCGGCGACCUGGACGGACAUUGACGCUGAGACGCGAAAGCGUGGGGAGCAAACAGG